UAAAAGAAUAAGAAACAAAAAAGUAAUGAAAAAAAACAUACAAAAAUGAAAAAAAUAAAUUAAAUUAAAGGCAAAAAAUAAUAAUAAUAAAUUGACAGAGUAAAACAAUAUUUUAUUCUACAUUUUCAAUAUAAGGUGUAACGUCAAUUUUAAAAGAAACCCGAGUUACCAGUACAGGUAAAUUUUAAAGAAACAUACCAACUAAAAUCUUCAACCCUGAUUGAUUUUUACAGGUAACAUAAUUAGAUAACACAUCUACCUAUGUUUUAUGACCCCAAAUAAAUGGCCAACAUCUCAAGAUUUAAUAUCCGAAUAAAUGUUCACCAUUGGAUGUUGACCAUGCAAGAGGGUGGACAUAACUAAGAGGAUGUCACAUGUUGUACUUUAUCAGGAUUUGUUCUCAUAAUGUUAAUAGGAUUAAAAGUAAAUAUGAUGAUAUCAAACAAACACUUAUGUUUAUAAAUAACCCACCUGCUGUAGUGGGUAUGUGUGAAAUAUUUUUAACUAAAAACACUACAGAUAAUGAAUUACAAAUAACUGGUUAUUUAUCUGAAAGGAAGAAAAAAAUGUUCAAGACAAAACAACAUUGAAAUAGGAGGUAUUGACACAAUGUGGUUUGAAGUAAAACCAGAUUAUGAAAAAAUAACUUUUGCUAUGUUUUGUGUACAGACCUCCAAAGUCAACAAUAGACUGGGUUGAUGAUUUUGAAAAAGAACUAGGAAUGACAGUGACCAUUUAUUUAGAUAUAUUAUUAUUGAGUGAUUUUAAUAUGAAUUUUAAAGCACCAAGCAAACCUUCUAAAAAUGGGUGAGUGUUUUAGAAUCGUUCGAUAUUCAACAAUUGAUUGAAGAUGCUACAAGGUUCACAAAGGAUUCUAGUACAUCGAUUGAUCUAGAUAGUGACCAUUAACAUAUUUGUUUAACAAGGAAAGAAGUUAAUAAAGACGAAAAGAAUACACACAGUACAAUCACAUAAAGGAGUUAAAAUGACCAAAAUGAAUUUCUAUUAGACCUAUAAAGUACAAAUUCUUUAUAAAAUUGAAUUUGAAUCCUUCUGUCUGUCUUCAAUUAUGUUAUGAUAAGUUGAACAAAGUUUUAGAUAAUCAUGCUCCUGUUGAUGAAAAAAGAGUUAAACAGGAUAGGCAAUCUGAUUGGUAUAAUAGUGAAAUUAGUUAUGCUAGGAACAUGAGGGAUAAAUAUAAUGCACUUGGAUUGUGAAGUGAAUAUAUAUUUUAGAGAAAUAAAACUAAACAAAGAAUAGAGAACUAAAAAAAAAACAUUAUAAAAACAUGGUAAAAGAAUCUAAUGACUCAUUUUUUUUUAUGGAAAUGCCUUCAUAGUCUAAACCCUAAGGUAAAACAUCCCCAAAUGAGUUAACUACAGAUGAUAACAACACAACGAAAAAUAAUAAAAAAAUCAAUAGCAGAUACUUUUAACAAUAUUUUGACUACCUGUGCCGAAAAAGUAAGUGAGCAAAGAGACAAUACAUCUGUUGACAAGGCGGAUUUCAAUAAUCGUAGCACAUUCAUUGAAAAUCAAUUAGUACAAGAAAAUCACGAGAAAUUUACCUUAACACCAAUAAAGAUAAAUGAGCUAUUUGAUGAGUUAACAAAACCUGAUGUAAAUAAAUCAUCGGGUCUGAUAACAAUGGACCCCAAAUCCUUAAAAUAAGUGCCCCAUAUAUUGCCUCUCCUCUCACAUAUAUAUUCAACAGAAUGAUAGAUACUGGUGUAUAUCCUUCAUUACUGAAAACUGCUAAGGUAAUACUAGUUUACAAAGAUGGUGACAAGGUUUUAGCAACAAAUUACAGACCCA
rnacentral:lncRNA from 1 species